GUCGUAUCAAGGUUUCCGUAGGUGAACCUGCGGAAGGAUCAUUA
rnacentral:rRNA from 1 species